UUCCCUUCUUCUAAUGUUUGUUUAUUGUUUUAUUGUUUACCUUUUGUUCAAAUUAAAUCGUAUAGACUGACUGAAGCCAACAAUUUACUACUCACAAACAACGUUCGUAAGACCAUGAUUUAUAAUCAGAGACUGUGGCAGAGAAAUUGAUGAUUGCAUCCGAAUGCCAGAUCUUGUCACUACUUGGAUUUAUAAAAGAUCUUCUUUGUGUGACAAUGUUUAUAAAUGAAAUACCAAGAAGUGGGGAGGGAUUCUAGUAUCCCAAUGAAGAAGAACGACCUCAAACAUGGAGAGGGUAAACUCUGGUAAAAGACAAUAGGAAUGUUCCAAGUAUAACAGAGGUAUCACUCAGCCCUGAACAGGGAUAUAAUAAGCCAAACUCCUGCUCAUAAGGGACAACCUUUGGAAUUUACCCAGUGUGUUCUCUUGCAGCAUUUGAAGUUUGAAGACCCAUAAAAUGACUCGCUCAGUUAAUUCGCUUAAAUGUGGUACUUGUAGUAAAGUUUUUACCCGUAAAGAUAACCUGAAACGCCAUGAAAAAUAUGGACAUGAUUUCCAGGAGCAUAUAAAGACACUUAAAUGUGCUAUGUGUAGUAAAUUUUUUUCUCGUAAGGAUACACUGAAAUCCCACGAAGCGGAGCAUAGGGUUGAGAACAACAAAUCUGAACAAUAUGAGUGUGGUACUUGUGCUAAAGUUUUUGCUCGUAAAUAUAACCUGAAACGCCACGAAGAACUGAUACAUAAUGUCCAGGUGCAUUUAAAGACGCUAAAAUGUGCUAUUUGUGGUAAGGAGUUUUCUUGUAGUGAUAACCUGAAACGCCACCAAGAGUGGCACAGGGAACAUAGGGGAGAGAACAACCGAUCUGGACGGUAUGAGUGUGGUACUUGUGGUAAAGUUUUUUUUUGUAAGGAUGCACUAAAAUGCCACAAAGCCAUGCAUAUUGUUGAGAACAACAGUUCUAAACAAUAUGAGUGUGGUACUUGUGGUAAAGAUUUUUGUAGUGACUAUAACCUAAAACGCCACGAAGAGAUUGCACAUACAGUCCAGGGGGAAAUAUAUGAAUGUGCGGAAUGCUGUAAAUCAUUUACACGUAAGAACAAUUUGCUUAGGCACAUUAAUCUAAUCCAUUUAGGCCUAGCUUCUCAACCUCACAAGUGUCCUAAAUGUAAAAGAAGUUUUAAACGUCUUGAUGGUCUGAAACAACAUGCAAAAAUGGUAUGCUUCACCAUACUAUAAAACCAUAGGCUACAGAUAAUAGUGUCAUAUCAUAAGGAAAAUUUAGUUGAAAGUUCCAAGGUUGGAUAAUUUGUCUUGCUGAAUUUAAUUGCUUUUUAAAAUUUAUUGAAAUUUAUACGUAGUCAAAUGCUGCAGUUCAUUGCAAUUACAUAUUUACAUGUAUAGUUAAUUUAAAUAUGUAGAAGAGGUUAACUUGAAGAUUUGAAAGUAAGGUUCGCAGGUUUGCAAUCGUGAUACUGCUGCACAUGCCCAUGUCAUGUCCGCUUCCAGACCAACCCGCCUAAAGAACGGGAAGUUUGUCAGAUAAAGUUACAAGCAGAUAAAGUUUGUACAUGUUUUACAUUUUUUAUUUUUUUUUUGCUAGGAAUAGUUAUCCUAUUGACAUUUAAUGUAAAUUCCAUAGGCUAACAAAAAAUGACAGGUGUACCUAAAAGUUUUUACUUUUAGCAGCCUUCGAGUUAAUACUUUUCAUUUGUUAACGACACUUAUUUAAAAAAGUUAAUAAUCUAAUCAAUAGUUUUUCGUUUUUCUAUUUCACAAAACUCUUAAUACUAUUAAAGAGUGAAUACUAAAUGUAAAGGUUUACAUGUCUGAAGAAUAAGACUUUUAUUAAUACAGUAGAACCUUGAUAACAAGACUCUCAUGGGGAUUAUAAAAUAAGACUUGUUAUCAAGGUUGACUUCUUAUCGAGGUUUGUAAUAACAUGUGAUCGGGGUAAAAUAAUUUUAAGGGGAUUUGAAAAUGACACUUGUUAUCAAGGGUGAGUUGUUAUCGAGGGUCUUCUUUUCAAGGUUCCACUAUAGUUCAUUUAAAUUAACAACAUGUGUAGACAUUGAAGUAGGCUUUGCUGUUUGUAUUGAUUUUGUAAUUUAAUUCUUACAUAAAAGAAUUUAGUGUGUUUGUAAUUUUUAGUAAAAAUUUUUUUACAUUUAAAUUAUUUUAGUAAAAAUGUUUUUGUAAGUUUUAGAUGUAAAAUGAUUAGUGUGUUCGAGAAUGAAGAGACAUUUUUAAAGCUGUUUAUUUUUGUAAUGUAAUCAACUACGGGCAAUAUGAAUUUUUGUUUGUAAUACAAGUUGGUUUUGUAGCAACUUUGAAGGACAUGUUAUAAGUUAAAGGUAUCUACUCCAAUCCAAAGCACAAGUAAAGCUACUAACAUUAAAUUUAAUAUGUGUCAAGAAAUAUUUUGUGUUGUUAAAAUGCCGUAAGAAACUAAAUUAACCAGUGGAAUCAGAACAUUUUUAUGGUAGUAUAUUAUUUACAUUGUAUGAUAA